AGUUCGAUUAUGGCUCAGAUUGAACACUGGCGGGAUGCUUUACAUGCAAGUCAGACAGCGGCACGGACUUCGGUCUGGUGGCGAGUGAACAGGUGAGUAAUGUAUCGGAACGUGCCUAGUAGCGGGGGAUAACUACGCGAAAGCGUAGCUAAUACCACAUACGCCCUUCGGGGAAAGCGGGGACCUUCAGACUCGCACUAUUAGAGCGGCCGAUAUGGAUUAAGCUAGUUGGUGGGGUAGCGGCUCACCCAAAGGCGACGAUCAAUAGCUGGUUUUGAGAGGACGACCAGCCACACUGGGACUGAACAGCCCAGGCUCCUACAGGAGGCAGCAGUGGGGAAUUUUGGACAAUGGAAACCCUGAUCCAGCCAUCCGCGGCAGCGAUGAAGAUUAUGGUUGUAGCCGAAAACACUUUUGGCAGGAAGCGUGGCACGGGAUAAUACCCCGUGCAACUGACGGUACCUGCAGAAUAAGCACCGGCUAACUACGUGCCAGCAGCCGCGGUAUGCAUGGGGUGCAAGCGUUAAUCCAGAUUACUGGGCGUAAAGCGUGCGCAGGCGGUUCCGGAAAGAAAGAUGUGAAAUCCCAGAGCUUAACUUUGGAACUGCAUUUUUAACUACCGAGCUAGAGUGUCAGAGGGAGGUGGAAUUCCGUAUGUAGCAGUGAAAUGCGUAGAUAUGCGGAGGAACACCGUGGCGAAGAGCCAUCCUGGGAUGCUGCCGGCAGCUCACGAAAGCGUGGGGAGCAAACAGGAUUUAGAUACCCAGUCCACGCCCUAAACGAUGUCAAUGGCUGUUGGGGCCUUCGGGCCUUGGUAGCGCAACUAACGCGUGAAGUUGUGACCGCCUGGGAAUACGGUCGCAAGAAUAAAACUCAAAGGAAUUGACGGGGACCCGCACAAGCGGUGGAUAAUAGUUAAUUCGAUGCAACGCAGAAAACCGCCACUACCCUUGACAUGUCUGGAAUCCCGAAGAGAUUUGGGAGUGCUCGCAAAGGGCCGGAACACAGGUGCUGCAUGGCUGUCGUCAGCUCGUGUCGUGAGAUGUUGGGUUAAGUCCGCAACGAGCGCAACCCUUGUCAUUAGUUGCUACGAAAGGGCACUCUAAUAAGACUGCCGGUGACAAACCGGAGGAAGGUGGGGAUGACGUCAAGUCCUCAUGGCCCUUAUGGGUAGGGCUUCACGUCAUGCUGGUCGAGACAGAGGUCGCCAGCCCGCGAGGGAGCAAUGCAGAAACCCGAUCGUAGUCCGGAUCACUGAUCUGCAGCUCGACUGCGUGAAGUCGGAAUCGCCUAAUAAUCGCGGAUCAGCAUAAUAGCGGUGAAUACGUUCCCGGGUCUUGUACACACCGCCCGUCACACCAUGGGGGUGGGUUUUACCAGAAGUAGUUAGCCUAACCGUAAGGAGGGCGUUACCACGGUAGAUUCAUGACUGGGGUGAAGUCGUAAUGGGUAG
rnacentral:rRNA from 1 species